rnacentral:rRNA from 1 species
GACGAACGCUGGCGGCGUGCUUAACACAUGCAAGUCGAACGGAAAGGCCCUGCUUUUGUGGGGUGCUCGAGUGGCGAACGGGUGAGUAACACGUGAGUAACCUGCCCUUGACUUUGGGAUAACUUCAGGAAACUGGGGCUAAUACCGGAUAGGAGCUCCUGCUGCAUGGUGGGGGUUGGAAAGUUUCGGCGGUUGGGGAUGGACUCGCGGCUUAUCAGCUUGUUGGUGGGGUAGUGGCUUACCAAGGGUUUGACGGGUAGCCGGCCUGAGAGGGUGACCGGCCACAUUGGGACUGCGAGACGGCCCAGACUCCUACGGGAGGCAGCAGUGGGGAAUAUUGCGCAAUGGGCGGAAGCGUGAUGCAGCAACGCCGCGUGCGGGAUGACGGCCUUCGGGGUGUAAACCGCUGUCGCCUGUGACGAAGCGUGAGUGACGGUAAUGGGUAAAGAAGCACCGGCUAACUACGUG